CGGUUUUCCUUUCCAAACAUCCAACAAAAACACUCCCAGGGGUGAGCUUUCCGGCGACACCUACUUUCAGAUCCGACGUUUAUGACCCAGUGGCAUGUGAGGAAGCUAUCGGUAAUAAUGCUACAUGGAAUUCGGUUUCGCUCUCCAAACAACAAAUUAGAAACUGUGUUAGAUGUCAAUACUAACAUCCAUUUCUUCAUUUUGAAGCUUCUACCACGGAUUGCAUGUACAUGUAUAUCUAUUUGUGUGACACCCAGCAAUUUAACAGGGUAAUCCGUACACUUUAACUGAACCA